rnacentral:snRNA from 1 species
AGCUUUGCGCAGUGGCAGUAUCGUAGCCAAUGAGGUUUAUCCGAGGCGCGAUUAUUGCUAAUUGAAAAUAUGAAGGUAGGGAGAAAGGGUUAUCUGUCUCCAUCCAUUGGUUGUCCUAACGCCUGCAGAGGC